GGGCAUGUGGCUGAAUGGUAAUGCAUCCACAUCAUACGAUAAACCCAGAAGGUCGUUAGCUGCAGCUAUCGGGUUAUGGGAGUCGGGGGUCUGACUCGAGACGCGACGUCGCCUCAUUGGCGUGGGAGAUUGUACGUUCGACUCGUACCAUGUCCA